UACGAAGGGGGCAAGCGUUGUUCGGAAUUACUGGGCGUAAAGCGUGCGCAGGCGGCUUCCCAAGUCAGUGGGGAAAGCCCGGAGCUCAACUCCGGAAAUGCCAUUGAAACUGUGAAGCUCGAGAACGAGAGAGGUGAGUGGAAUUCCCAGUGUAGAGGUGAAAUUCGUAGAUAUUGGGAAGAACACCAGUGGCGAAGGCGGCUCACUGGCUCGUAACUGACGCUCAUGCACGACAGCGUGGGGAUCAAACAGG
rnacentral:rRNA from 1 species